rnacentral:rRNA from 1 species
UUAAUUGCGCCGCCUGGGAGUACGGCCGCAGGCUUAAACUCAAAGGAUUGACGGGGGCUCACACAAGCGGUGGAGGAUGUGGAUUAAUUCGAAGCAACGCGAAGAACCUUACCUGGGUUUGCAUGCUUGGAUGCCCUCCUGGAAACAGGAGUAAGCUGCCUUCGGGUGAAACUUGCACAGGUGCUGCAUGGCUGUCGUCAGCUCGUGCUGUGAAGUGUCGGGUUAAGUCCCUUAACGAGCGAAACCCCUAUCGUUAGUUGCCAGCGGGUCAUGCCGGGGACUCUAGCGAGACCGCCGACGUCAAGUCGGAGGAAGGUGGGGACGACGUCAAGUCAUCAUGGCCUUUAUGCCCAGGGAUUCUCACGUCCUACAAUGGCCGUUACAGAGCGAAGCGAGACCGCGAGGUGGAGCAAAUCGCACAAAGGCGGCCUCAGUUCGGAUUGGAGUCUGCAACUCGACUCCAUGAAGCUGGAAUCGCUAGUAAUCGCGGAUCAGCUACGCCGCGGUGAAUGUGUUCCUGAGCCUUGUACACACCGCCCGUCAAGUCAUGGAAGCUGGGAGUACCCGAAGUCCGUUUAGCUAACCCGCAAGGGAGGCGACGGCCGACGGUAAGCCCGGUGACUGGGACUAAGUCGUAACAAGGUAGCCGUAG